CAAUAGCGUAUAUUAAAGUUGUUGCAGUUAAAAAGCUCGUAGUUGGAUUUGUGGUUCGUCCCGCCGGCUGGGUCAUUGGCUUUUGCUGUGCUGGUCGUCCAUCCUUGGGUGGAAUCUGUGUGGCAUUAGGUUGUCGCGCAGGGGAUGCCCAUCGUUUACUGUGAAAAAAUUAGAGUGUUCAAAGCAGGCUUAUGCCGUUGAAUAUAUUAGCAUGGAAUAAUGAUAUAGGACCUUGGUACUAUUUUGUUGGUUUGCGCACUGAGGUAAUGAUUAAUAGGGACAGUUGGGGGUAUUCGUAUUCCAUUGUAAGAGGUGAAAUUCUUGGAUUUUUGGAAGACGAACUACUGCGAAAGCAUUUACCAAGGAUGUUUUCAUUAA
rnacentral:rRNA from 1 species